rnacentral:rRNA from 1 species
AAUAUUGCACAAUGGGGGAAACCCUGAUGCAGCAACGCCGCGUGAGCGAUGAAGGCCUUCGGGUCGUAAAGCUCUGUCCUAAGGGAAGAAAUUUGACGGUACCUUGGGAGGAAGCCCCGGCUAACUACGUGCCAGCAGCCGCGGUAAUACGUAGGGGGCAAGCGUUAUCCGGAAUCACUGGGCGUAAAGGGUGCGUAGGCGGUCUUGCAAGUCAGAGGUGGAAGGCUACGGCUCAACCGUAGUAAGCCUUUGAAACUGUAGGACUUGAGUGCAGGAGAGGAAAGUGGAAUUCCUAGUGUAGCGGUGAAAUGCGUAGAUAUUAGGAGGAACACCAGUGGCGAAGGCGACUCUCUGGACUGCAACUGACGCUGAGGCACGAAAGCGUGGGGAGCAAACA